rnacentral:rRNA from 1 species
CAGUCGCCGCGGUAAUACAGAGGGUGCGAGCGUUAAUCGGAUUUACUGGGCGUAAAGCGUGCGUAGGCGGCUUCUUAAGUCGGAUGUGAAAUCCCUGAGCUUAACUUAGGAAUUGCAUUCGAUACUGGGAAGCUAGAGUAUGGGAGAGGAUGGUAGAAUUCCAGGUGUAGCGGUGAAAUGCGUAGAGAUCUGGAGGAAUACCGAUGGCGAAGGCAGCCAUCUGGCCUAAUACUGACGCUGAGGUACGAAAGCAUGGGGAGCAAACAGGAUUAGAGACCCCCGUAGUUCCUGUCUCUUAUAU